rnacentral:rRNA from 1 species
GAUGAACGCUGGCGGCGUGCCUAAUACAUGCAAGUCGAGCGAACGGACGAGAAGCUUGCUUCUCUGAUGUUAGCGGCGGACGGGUGAGUAACACGUGGAUAACCUACCUAUAAGACUGGGAUAACUUCGGGAAACCGUAGCUAAUACCGGAUAAUAUUUUGAGCCGCAUGGUUCAAAAGUGAAAGACGGUCUUGCUGUCACUUAUAGAUGGAUCCGCGCUGCAUUAGCUAGUUGGUAAGGUAACGGCUUACCAAGGCAACGAUGCAUAGCCGACCUGAGAGGGUGAUCGGCCACACUGGAACUGAGACACGGUCCAGACUCCUACGGGAGGCAGCAGUAGGGAAUCUUCCGCAAUGGUCGAAAGCCUGACGGAGCAACGCCGCGUGAGUGAUGAAGGUCUUCGGAUCGUAAAACUCUGUUAUUAGGGAAGAACAUAUGUGUAAGUAACUGUGCACAUCUUGACGGUACCUAAUCAGAAAGCCCCGGCUAACUACGUG